rfam:Sulfolobus tokodaii str. 7 DNA, complete genome.
GCGGCCGUCGUCUAGUCUGGAUUAGGACGCUGGCCUUCCAAGCCAGUAAUCCCGGGUUCAAAUCCCGGCGGCCGCA